GCAGCGGUCGCCAAGCCAGGUCAAAGGCGAAGGACUCAAGAUCCUUUCCCGUAGGGGUUCGCAGGUUCAAAUCCUGCCCGCUGCACCA
rnacentral:tRNA from 1 species